rnacentral:rRNA from 1 species
AAUCAACGCUGGCGGCGUGCCUCAGACAUGCAAGUCGAACGAUUAAAGCUCUCUUCGGAGAGUGCAUAGAGUGGCGCACGGGUGAGUAACACGUAAGUAAUCUACCUUCGAGUGGGGAAUAACGUCCGGAAACGGACGCUAAUACCGCAUAAUGCAGCGGCAUCGUAAGAUGACAGUUGUUAAAGAUUUAUCGCUUGAAGAGGAGCUUGCGGCAGAUUAGCUAGUUGGUAAGGUAAUGGCUUACCAAGGCUACGAUCUGUAACCGGUCUUAGAGGACGGUCGGUCACACUGACACUGAAUAACGGGUCAGACUCCUACGGGAGGCAGCAGUCGGGAAUUUUGGGCAAUGGGCGAAAGCCUGACCCAGCAACGCCGCGUGAAGGAUGAAGUAUUUCGGUAUGUAAACUUCGAAAGAAUAGGAAGAAUAAAUGACGGUACUAUUUAUAAGGUUCCGGCUAACUACGUGCCAGCAGCCGCGGU